AUGAGAAACACAAAGAGAAAGAGGAGAGACACCCAGUAUGUUCUCCAGGCCUUUAAGAAAACAUGGAGUUAUUCCUUUGUCCAUGUAUAUGUGAAUCUAUAAGAAAGGUGAUAUUGUAGACAUCAAGGGAAUGGGUACUGUUCAAAAAGGAACGCCCCACAGGUGUCACCAUGGCAAAACGGGAAGAGUCUACAAUGUUCCCCAGCAUGCUGUUGGCAUUGUUGUAAACAAACAAGUUAAGGGCAAGAUUCUUGCCAAGAGAAUUAAUGUGCAUAUUGAGCACAUUAAGCACUCUAAGAGCCAAGACAGCUUCCUGAAACGCGUGAGGAAAAUGAUCAGAAAAAGAAAGAAGCCUAUCAGAAAGGUACCUGGGUUCAACUGAAGUGCCAGCCUGCUCCACGCAGAGAAGCACAUUUUGUGAGAACCAGUGGGAAGGAGCCUGAGCUGCUGGAACCCAUUCCCUAUGAAUUCAUGGCAAAA
rnacentral:lncRNA from 1 species